UACGUAGGUGGCGAGCGUUGUCCGGAUUUACUGGGCGUAAAGAGCGCGCAGGCGGUCGUUCAAGUCGCGUGUGAAAGCCCCCGGCUCAACUGGGGAGGGUCACGCGAUACUGAUCGACUCGAAGGCAGGAGAGGGUAGUGGAAUUCCCGGUGUAGUGGUGAAAUGCGUAGAUAUCGGGAGGAACACCAAUUGCGAAGGCAGCUCGCUGGGACGUCGACUGACGCUGAGACGCGAAAGCGGUGGGGAGCAAACAGGG
rnacentral:rRNA from 1 species